rnacentral:rRNA from 1 species
UUUGAGUCCUUAACAGGAUUCUUAACAGGCAUUGCAAGUUUACUUUGAACAAAUCAGAGUGCUUCAAACAGGCGUUUUCGCUUGAAUGAUCGUGCAUGGAAUAAUAGAAAAUGAUUUCGGUUCAGUUUUAUUGGUUUUACGGACUGAGAUAAUGGUUAACAGAGACAAACGGGGGCAUUUGUAUGGUCCCGUGAGAGGUGAAAUUCUUGGACCGUGGCCAGACAAACUACAGCGAAAGCAUUUGCCAAGAAUGUUUUUAUUAAUCAAGAACGAAAGUCAGAGGUUCGAAGGCGAUCAGAUACCGCCCUAGUUCUGACCGUAAACGAUGCCAACUAGCGAUCCGCCGAUGGAAAUUAUAUUGCCUUGGUGGGGAGCUUCCCGGAAACGAAAGUCUUCCGGUUCCGGGGAAGUAUGGUUGCAAAGCUGAAACUUAAAGGAAUUGACGGAAGGGCACCACCAGGAGUGGAGCCUGCGGCUUAAUUUGACUCAACACGGGGAAACUCACCCGGCCCGGACACUGUGAGGAUUGACAGAUUGAUAGCUUUUUCAUGAUUCAGUGGAUGGUGGUGCAUGGCCGUUCUUAGUUCGUGGAGUGAUUUGUCUGGUUUAUUCCGAUAACGAGCGAGACUCUAACCUACUAAAUAGUUGGUACAUACUCUUAGUGUAUACAGCUUCUUAGAGGGAUUUGCGGCGUUCAGCCGAAAGAAAUUGAGCAAUAACAGGUCUGUGAUGCCCUUAGAUGUCCGGGGCUGCACGCGCGCUACACUGGCAAAAUCAACGUGCUUGUCCUACCCUGAAAGGGGCGGGUAAACCAUUGAAAAUUUGCCGUGAUUGGGAUCGGAAAUUGCAAUUAUUUUCCGUGAACGAGGAAUUCCAAGUAAGUGCGAGUCAUCAGCUCGCGUUGAUUACGUCCCUGCCCUUUGUACACACCGCCCGUCGCUGCCCGGGACUGAGCCAUUUCGAGAAAUUUGGGGACCGUUGAUUUAAUUUUUCUAAAUUACUUUGAUGGAAACCAAUUUAAUCGCAGUGGCUUGAACCGGGCAAAAGUCGUAACAAGGUAGCUGUAGGUGAACCUGCUGCUG